AUGGGAUGGGUACACUGUUUACAAAAAAAAAGCGCACUCCCUAACAGCACAGACCGCGAGAGCGUGUUUUGAGUGUGGCAGGAUUCUCCAAUGUCCUCUUCUAGAACCCCUUUGCAAGGCGUCGAGUGGCCGCCCAGUCUUCUCAGCACCGUCAAGCGGCACCUCGACCACGUAGAGGAUGCGGUGAGGCCUAGUAUUCCGCCGAUGCCGUCGUCGGCACUGACCAUCUACGACUUCUUCGAGACCCACCAUGACGCGAUUGAAGCCCAAAUGCUAGGCAGCGGGUUUGAUGCAGCGCUGACGGAGUGCUGCGCCGCCUUUCUCAUAGGCGUGCUGGAGCAGUCGUGCUCCUUGUCUUUUCUGCUGUCGCGGGAGCGGCGCAUCAUCGCCAUGACGGUGCGCCAGCUGGAGAAGCGCCUGCUGAGCAAAGCGCGCACCAGCGCGAUGGACUCCAAGCGGCGCCGCCUGGAGGAGGGAGCGGCAAGCGAACCGCGGUACGCACGGGUGCUGACGCUAGAGUACUUGCUGCGACUCUACGUAUCGCUGCCCAUGAUUCUAGAGCACUACGACAAACUAGGGAGUGCGCGCAUGCCGUCGUAUGCAACCGCUCCUCUCUGCUGCUUCAUCAACAUAACCAUGCAGAUUCUGAGCGCCCACCCCCGGUUCUUUUCGCCAGUCACGGAGUACGUUCCACUGCGCUGAUAGGACGCCUUAAGGACAGCCCUGUACGUCCGAUUUCGGUCGAGUGAAGCGCACGAGGCGGCAACGUGCCUUGUUUCUCUGUUGGAUUACGCUGUGCACUCGUUUACACAUCAUGCGAAGAGCGCUGCCACGGAGCACAGGAGGUACGCCUGCUACCUAAAGACACCCCUUCCUCUUUUCCUCAGCGUUUCCUCUUGCCGCUUACACCAGCGCGUCUUGAGGAGCGGAGGGCGAGAGCGUAAGGUCGCCUACCCGGGGAGAAUGUGUGUCCCUUCAUGGCUGACGUGCUUCGCUACAGUGAUCGGUCACGUGUGGGAGGUCUUCCAAGCAGAAGCAUUUGGGCGAAGUCGGUGACAGAGAGGAGCUUGACAGCAGACCAUACCUCCCCCUUGUUUGACUCAUGCUGCCCUCCACUGCAGAAUGACCUCUGUCUUUUUCUCUCAUUCGCUCUGCUGAGAGCAGCAGGGUCGCUGAUAUGCACACGUGCUUGCCCUCCCCCCGUUCUCCGGCUGCACGGUCUAUACUCCCGCUUCUCGUGCCUUGCACCUCUUUGAAAUUCGGCCAAUCGCUGCCUCUGCUCCCCGUCUCCGUAUCUGCCUCUGGCAUUCACUCCGGGGCCCCUUGCGGUAG
rnacentral:misc_RNA from 1 species